rnacentral:rRNA from 1 species
UACCUACGGGAGGCAGCAGUGGGGAAUAUUGCGCAAUGGGGGCAACCCUGACGCAGCAACGCCGCGUGAUUGAAGAAGUAUUUCGGUAUGUAAAGCUCUGUCAGCAGGGAAGAAAGAAAUGACGGUACCUGACCAAGAAGCCCCGGCUAACUACGUGCCGGCAGCCGCGGUAAUACGUAGGGGGCAAGCGUUAUCCGGAAUUACUGGGUGUAAAGGGAGCGUAGACGGUUAAGUAAGUCUGGAGUGAAAGGCCGGGGCCCAACCCCGGGACUGCUCUGGAAACUAUUGAACUUGAGUGCAGGAGG